rnacentral:lncRNA from 1 species
AAAAUCCUAAAAUUUCCAGAACUAAUAUGAAAAUAUCCAUUCACUCAGAUAUGCACCGGAGAAAAAAUCUGAAAUUUUCUCAGACGAAGAAUAAAGAGAACACACUGGAAUGAAUCUCCUUGCCACAAGAUUACAAGUCAAAGCCACAAUAUCAUAAUAAACUAACAAGGAUAUAACUAUUUGUUCCAAUACAAAACAUUGAUUGGCUUGGUAGCCGUGUACAGAUUNCACAAUAUCAUAAUAAACUAACAAGGAUAUAACUAUUUGUUCCAAUACAAAACAUUGAUUGGCUUGGUAGCCGUGUACAGAUUAUCAAUAGUCCUGUACCUGCGUUUCCUGGGCUUGCAGUUGAUAACACAAUCUUGAACGGUUUUUUCUGAUGAAGUGAUUUCAAAACCAUUAUUGUUCCUUUUGUUCUUGGGGGUGGAAUUUGUUAUACUGCUCUCGUUAUCGUCUUCAUCUCCAAAUAUCUGUAUAAGCUGCUCCGCCACCCAUGCCGCCUUAUCUACCUCUGACAAACUUCCAUGGAUCCCAGAUGACGACGAUGAACAAGCCAUGAAAAUGAAUGCACAAAAAAGGAUCUAAAUAUAUUUUGAAUCUCUCUCUCUCUCCCUGUCUCUCUCUCUCUCUCUGGGAGAGUUUGGCUUGACGAGU